UGGGGAAUCUUGCGCAAUGCGCGAAAGCGUGACGCAGCAACGCCGCGUGGGGGAAGAAGGCCUUCGGGUUGUAAACCUCUUUCAGUUGGGACGAAGGCCUCGCGGUUAAUAGCCGUGGGGGUUGACGGUACCUUCAGAAGAAGCCCCGGCUAACUACGUGCCAGCAGCCGCGGUAAUACGUAGGGGGCAAGCGUUGUCCGGAAUCAUUGGGCGUAAAGAGCGUGUAGGCGGCCCGAUAAGUCCGCUGUGAAAGUCCAGGGCUCAACCCUGGAAUGCCGGUGGAUACUGUCGGGCUCGAGUUCGGAAGAGGUGAGUGGAAUUCCUGGUGUAGCGGUGAAAUGCGCAGAUAUCAGGAGGAACACCAAUGGCGAAGGCAGCUCACUGGGACGAUACUGACGCUGAGACGCGAAAGCGUGGGGAGCAAACAG
rnacentral:rRNA from 1 species